AUACUGCCCAUAGACUGGGGAUUGAUGGAUCCUCGGAUUAAGGAUCGGGUGUGGGAGGAGAUUUGGAUAAGUGUAUCUUAAUUAUAUAUGUGCAUGUGAUAUGUUUACACUAUAUUUGAUUAAAAUAAUUUUGUAAUUGACUUCUAAUAACUUUGUACAGAGGACAUAUGACUUUUCAAAUCAUGAGAGGGCUCGAAAUAUCUGACUGCAGA
rnacentral:lncRNA from 1 species